AGUUUGAUCCUGGCUCAGAAUCAACGCUGGCGGCGUGCCUAACACUUGCAAGUCGAGCGAGAAAAGGGGGGCAACUCCCUGAGUACAGCGGCGCACGGGUGAGUAACACGUGGGUAAUCUGCCCUGAAGUGGGGAAUAACACCGGGAAACCGGUGCUAAUACCGCAUACGAUCACGGAGUCUGUGGAUUUUGUGAUGAAAGGAGCAAUUCGCUUUAGGAGGAGCCCGCGGCUGAUUAGCUAGUUGGUGAGGUAAUGGCUCACCAAGGCUACGAUCAGUAUCCGGUCUGAGAGGACGGUCGGACACACUGGAACUGAGACACGGUCCAGACUCCUACGGGAGGCAGCAGUGGGGAAUUUUUCGCAAUGGGGGCAACCCUGACGAAGCAACGCCGCGUGGGUGAUGAAGUCUCUUGGGACGUAAAACCCUUUCGACGGGGAAGAAACCGCAAGGUUGACGGUACCCGUAGA
rnacentral:rRNA from 1 species